CACGGGAAGGAUAAAGCCAAAGGAGCAGCUCAGAACGAAUGUCCUUAAAGGUCCUUCUCACCCUCAGCUCGAAAAGCAGUGCAUCCUCCUCCUGUGGGAAAUGCAUCCUAACACACUCGGCACUGGCGUUUGAGUCCAUCUUGCUCGAGUCUACAAAGACCGGCCAAUGACCACCUACGUGAGGGAACCCGAUAAGCAGAACUUCAUGAUGAUGAUUUGAUUCCAGCGUCUUAAACCAAGGCCAAGAACAUUAAUGAAAAACAUCCAGCACUCAAAUGUCUCUGUUUGUCAGCAAAUAAUAUUCACAAGGGGAUAUUCAGAAUCAUCUUCAAAGUGGAGAAGGAAAAUAACAACAUAAAAGGCAAGAGUUCCCAGGAAAAUGUGCUACAGAUGAACAGGAGAUACAAAUAUAACACCAAAGGCAGGGCCUCAGGUAAACACUCCCCACACUUUGCCACAAACCAGUCUCCGCAUACCCCUAAGCCAAAUAAACAAAGCCUGGGCAAAUGUCAAUAUUUAAAUACCAUAUCCCAAGGUUUCUCUCUCACAUACACAGUUAUAUACGUAUAAAAUCUCAUUAGACUAACUUGAAAGUGGGUUUUAACUAAAAUAUAAAAAGACUUGGGGAUUUUUUCUCAGUCCUGCUAGGCUAGUCUCCAUUCCAAGCUCUAGCAUCCCAGGAAUCUGAUGGUGACUUCAUGCAGGGCAAAGGUGGCCCAGGAAGAAAACCAAAAAUUAGACGGAGAGGCUGGACCCCCAUCUGAACUCACAGCUGGGUCUCAGAGGUUGACAGGAGGCAUCAGACACCCUCGGCCAUGGCUCAAUGUGCAAAACCCCACUUGGGGCUGAAUGCAGGCCUUGGAGCAAGGUCCAGGAGGCCAGGUGUCCCCCACCCGAGGCCCAUUAAGUAAGUCUCUUUCAGGGGGCUACAAGAAGGGACAGGAACUGCCUGGGACACGAAUGACCUUAAGCUUUUGCCAAGAAGCACAGAUAAUCUCUCUGUAAGAAAAUCACAGGGUAAGAGCAUAAGAAGGGGCGGACACACACAAAGAGAAGGAAAGAGGAAAGCAGCUCUCCUGCCAAGGCCUUGCAGGAGUAGGGGAGGAAUUGGGAGCAUGGUUCUCUUCCUUCAUUCUCCUAGUCACUGCUAUGAACCCCACCCCCACCUAUUGCACACAUACCCAAGGCCACACAAGGAACCAAGGCCAUGGCCUUGCCAAGGGCAGCUGGAAGAACCAACCCCAAGUGCUGUUUCUGCCAUCUCCCUCUGACCAAGCUCCGGAAAAGACAACAGAUCCAUCUUAAAAUUCCACAGGCCCUGUUCCAUAGUCCUCCAUGGCUCCCUAUUGCUCAGGAGAGAAUCAGGACCUAUGCUGACAUUCCAACUCCAAGGUGGCCCUACCUUGCUUUUCAUGUUUUGCCCCCACUCCCACACUCAGGAAUUUUGCUCCAACCCCACACCCAGCACCACCAUCCCAGGUAGGAAUGGUACCACCGCUCAAAUGUGCAGCCCAGACAGAUAAAUCAGUAUGCAAAAAAGUCAUUUACAACACAACAGAAUCAUCAUUCUCACAGGGCAAGUACAGGCGGUUCAGGAUGGAGAGGCUCCUGACUGUGAGAACUGAGGCUGCCCCACCCCAGGGAAAACUUCACCAGCAACGUUCUACCUGAUCUGCACUCUGAAGGGCUGAAGAGGCAAACAGGAGGCAGGAAGGGUGCUACAGGCUGAGGGAACUGCAUGCACUAAAGCAGAGAGAAGGGAGAAAUGUGACUCCCUGGGAAAAUGAGGGGCCUGUGUAUGGAUGGUAGUGAGGCUGGAAGGUUGGCAGAAGGCAGGUCCUAUGAAGGACCCUUUACAGCAGCAGAUAUAAAAAUAGAACUUCAUCCUACACAUGAGAGGUAGCCACUGAUGGUUUUCAAGCAGGGGACAACCCAAGGUGAUUUCCAUUGCACAAAUCUCAUUCUUCUCACAGUGUAGAGAAAGGGCUGGAGACGGGAGGUGAGCUAGGCAGCACAGAGACUUAGGUUACUGCAAGAAGAGAUCAUCCAGGCCUGGACUUAGGUAGUGGCAACAGACCUGGGGUGGUGCUAGGCAAUUUUCAAAAGACUUGAUGGCACAAUUAAUUAAGGUGAGGGAAUGGCCAAAAGUGGUGCUCAGGUCUUGUUCAGGAAACAGACACACAAAUGUCCAAUUUAAAUAAAAUGUGCUAGGGGUGAUGACAGAUAUUCACAGGGUGUUGUGGAUGGCUGGGGGUGUGAGAGGGGAGAAGGGCGCUGAGAAGGCACAGUCAGAGGGGCCAGAGGAAACCCAGAAGGAGCCCAGCAGCCCAGGCAGGAGACCAUUGUAAGGAGUCAGCUGCACACCUGCAGAUGCCCCAGGGAGGACCAGUCAACUCAGGACUGAAAUGUGAGCAGCCCGUGACCAGGUUUUUGUUUUGUUUUCUGAUGGGUCCCAAGUGCCUACAACAGCGCUUGGCACAUAGUGGGGAUUAAUAAAUAUUUAUGUAAUG
rnacentral:lncRNA from 1 species